rnacentral:rRNA from 1 species
AUUGAACGCUGGCGGCAGGCCUAACACAUGCAAGUCGAGCGGAGCGGCGGACGGGUGCGUAAUGCCUAGGACUCUGCCUGGUCGUUGGGGAUAACGUCCGGAACCGGGCGCUAAUACCGCAUACUAUCAUAUGCGCCUAGGUCUGAUUAGCUAGUUGGUGGGGUAAAGGCCUACCAGGGCGACGAUCCGUAACUGGUCUGAGAGGAUGAUCAGUAACACUGGAAAGGAGACAAGGUCCAGACUCCGACGGGAGGCAGCAGUGGGGAAUAUUGGACAAUGGGCGAAAGCCUGAUCCAUCCAUGCCGCGUGUGUGAAGAAGGUAUUCGGAUUGUAAAGCACUUUAAGUUGGGAGGCGUUACCAACAGAAUAAGCACCGGCUAACUUCGUGCCAGCCGCCGCGGUAAUAC